GGAGGUAGUGACAAUAAAUCACAAUGCGGAACAAUGUUUUGCAAUUGGAUUGAGAACAACGUACAAACCUUAUCGAUAAACAAUUGGAGGGCAAGUCUGGUGCCAGCAGCCGCGGUAAUUCCAGCUCCAAUAGCGUAUAUUAACGUUGUUGCAGUUAAAAAGCUCGUAGUUGAAAUGAAGGGUAGUUGUGUAAUGAAUACAUUCGUGUAUUUUGUUAUUCUACUACCCUCCUUCUAAAUUCGAUAUAUGAGUAUUAAUUUACUUGUAUAUGGUUUUAGACGUUUACUGUGAGAAAAUUAGAGUGUUCAAAGCAGGCAUUUGCUUGAAUAUAUUAGCAUGGAAUAAUCAUGUAUGAUUUUCAUGAUGUAUUUGAUUGGUUUGGUUCAUGAGAAUAAGAUUAAAAGGGACAGUUGGGGGUAUUCAUAUUCAAUAGUCAGAGGUGAAAUUCUCGGAUUUAUGGAAGAUGAACAAGUGCGAAAGCAUUUACCAAGGAUGUUUU
rnacentral:rRNA from 1 species